rfam:Dipodomys ordii contig_52368, whole genome shotgun sequence.
GGGAAAGUGGCUCAGUGGUAGAGUGCUUGCCUGGGAUGCAUGAGGCCCUAGGCUCGAUUCCUCAGCACCA